GAUGAACGCUGGCGGCGUGCCUAAUACAUGCAAGUCGAGCGAACAGACGAGGAGCUUGCUCCUCUGACGUUAGCGGCGGACGGGUGAGUAACACGUGGAUAACCUACCUAUAAGACUGGGAUAACUUCGGGAAACCGGAGCUAAUACCGGAUAAUAUAUUGAACCGCAUGGUUCAAUAGUGAAAGACGGUUUUGCUGUCACUUAUAGAUGGAUCCGCGCCGCAUUAGCUAGUUUGUAAGGUAACGGCUUACCAAGGCAACGAUGCGUAGCCGACCUGAGAGGGUGAUCGGCCACACUGGAACUGAGACACGGUCCAGACUCCUACGGGAGGCAGCAGUAGGGAAUCUUCCGCAAUGGGCGAAAGCUUGACGGAGCAACGCCGCGUGAGUGAUGAAGGUCUUCGGAUCGUAAAACUCUGUUAUUAGGGAAGAACAAAUGUGUAAGUAACUAUGCACGUCUUGACGGUACCUAAUCAGAAAGCAACGGCUAACUACGUG
rnacentral:rRNA from 1 species